UUACAAGUCCCCACAAGGCAGGAAUCUGUUUAUUCUUGCACAGAGCACAGAAGGCUGUGGAGAACGGCUUCCUCCGCUUCUGCUGUCAGGACUCAGAGGAGUGUUUUGUGCCUCCACCUUCUAAGCCACAUUACGCAGGUUUAGAGUCCACAGAAACACAGACUGAAGACACUACACCUGGCUCGGACGUCACGUGCAUCUCUGAGCAGCGAACAGAGAGCCUUAGCGUUCAGAGCAGAUGUUCGGACUUUGUGUUGCCGGGUGAAGUGCCUGUUGAGACUAUUCCACACGAGACCGGAGCCAAUGUCACUACACUGGACAUCACGUCCAUCGCUGAGGACAAUGUAAAGAAGACUGACAAACGCAUACGUUGGAAGAAGACCCGAUCAUUCUUCCGGAGAGCCCGUGAGGCUCUGAAGCUGCCGUUACUCUGCAGUGGCGUGGACGCGGUGGAGUCUUUGGUGCCUCUAACAGACUCGACAGACUCUACAGAAGCUCAGUGUGGCGACUCUACACAAACACUAGACCUUGAGGAGCUGAGCGAUGGGAUGUUAUCCGGUUCGGAAAGCAUCCCAGAGACGGUGCUGCCAGGUGAAGUGCUUUUUGAGCCGGCAGAGGCUUCAGAAAAACCUAAAGAACGGACUAUGAAGGAAAAGAUCUGUUAUUGCCUUAAAAAAGCUUGGACGGGUAUAAAGCAGCACUUCCUCUUCUGUGCCGUCACCUGUGCCAGAUCCCUCAGACUAACAGCCGACUCAAUCUGCAAGUGAUGCUAAUGAUGAGACAUUAUUCAGCUGUCGUGGUUUGAGCACACCCAAAAAUAAAAAAUUAUAAUCAUAUAAUUUACUUUACAGCAAAAACA